rnacentral:rRNA from 1 species
UAGGGAAUCUUCCACAAUGGACGCAAGUCUGAUGGAGCAACGCCGCGUGAGUGAAGAAGGUUUUCGGACCGUAAAGCUCUGUUGUUGGUGAAGAAGGAUAGAGGUAGUAACUGGCCUUUAUUUGACGGUAAUCAACCAGAAAGUCACGGCUAACUACGUGCCAGCAGCCGCGGUAAUACGUAGGUGGCAAGCGUUGUCCGGAUUUAUUGGGCGUAAAGCGAGCGCAGGCGGAAGAAUAAGUCUGAUGUGAAAGCCCUCGGCUUAACCGAGGAAUUGCAUCGGAAACUGUUUUCUUGAGUGCAGAAGAGGAGAGUAGAACUCCAUGUGUAGCGGUGGAAUGCGUAGAUAUAUGGAAGAAUACCAGUGGCGAAGGCGGCUCUCUGGUCUGCAACUGACGCUGAGGCUCGAAAGCAUGGGUAGCGAACAGGAUUAGAUACCCUGGUAGUCCAUGCCGUAAACGAUGAGUGCUAAGUGUUGGGAGGCUUCCGCCUGCUCAGUGCUGCAGCUAACGCAUUAAGCACUCCGCCUGGGGGAGUACGACCGCAAGGUUGAAAC